CAACUUGAGAGUUUGAUCCUGGCUCAGAGCGAACGCUGGCGGCAGGCUUAACACAUGCAAGUCGAGCGGGCGUAGCAAUACGUCAGCGGCAGACGGGUGAGUAACGCGUGGGAACAUACCUUUUGGUUCGGAACAACACAGGGAAACUUGUGCUAAUACCGGAUAAGCCCUUACGGGGAAAGAUUUAUCGCCAAAAGAUCGGCCCGCGUCUGAUUAGCU
rnacentral:rRNA from 1 species